UUUUACUUAUUCAAAAGUUAACAAAUUGUCGUGGUACUGCUCCAGUAAAUCCAGGGGUUGCAAAGCCAGAGUGUCCUUUCUGAAUCCUCAUCUAAGUUCGACAGUACAUAAUCACCCACCACCGAAAUAUAUGAAGAUCUCAACUGAUUUCCAUUAUGAAUUGAUCCCGUCGUCAAGAAGUACUAAAAAUAUUUUAGUAUUCCAAGGUUAUACUUUCUCGCAAAACCGCUCUUCCGGGAAUUGGUAUUGCUCCAAGCAACAUAGCGGAUGCAAGGCCAGGAUCAAUAUGAAUGCUGAUGGUUUCAUAAUGAAGGUCAAUGUGAAUCACUCUCAUGGGAAACCUAAAGUUCGUUAAUUUCAGAUAAGUAAGUUGGCCGCCUAGAUCUGUGACAUCACACCCUGAAACCAUUCUCUUACGGGCAAUGUAAAGUCCAACGUUUAUAGAUACGUCGCAUACGAUUGAGAUACUGGAAGUGAAGAAGCACAUCUCUGCUUGCUCGAGUCCGUGGCAGCACCAACACCCAGGGAGUCCCCUCUUUUACAAAGGAAACAAAUAUUUAGAGUUCUCAAAGAAAUACCUUCAGCCGAUGAAGACAGAAUUUAAUGAAAAAUUAUCAAAACUGAUAGGACGAAAGAAAAGCAAUAGUAUAUAUUACAUUAAUGAAGCACGUUACGAGGAUUUCAUUAAUGAUAUAAAAGAAGUGAAAAAUAGACGUCUUAAAACAUACGAAGAUUACAAAUAUUUAGCAAACUAUGAAGUUCUGGAAAUUAACGGAAGAGAAAGACUUGUAAAACCAAAAAAUGAUAGUGAAGUGAUGAAAUUUUAUGUGAAAAUAGAUGAAUUAUUUGGAGUCUUGCACACCAUUCAUAUAUUGUUUGAGCACGCGAAUAGAGAUACUAUGGACGUGGAAAUAAAAUCAAAGUACUGCAAUAUCUCCAAAGAUGCUAUUAAAUUGUAUUUAUCGUGUUGUUAUAAGUGUAGCAAGGGCCUGUAAAGCUUACAAAUUUAUCUGCAAUGCUUAAUAAUUUAUAUGAAUAUUAAAUUAAAAUAAACAAUAUGUUUGGGUUUCA